rnacentral:lncRNA from 10 species
CUGUGAACCUUUGGGUGAGUUUCUUUCUAAGCUUUGGACCUGAGUUUCUGCCUGUGAUGAGCAAGCUCGCGCCUGCCUCACCAGCCCAUAAGCAGGAUGGGUGGGAGAGGUGGGAUUUCGCCAGGUUGCCCAUGCUGGUCUUGAACUCCUGGACUCAAGUGAUCCACCUGCCCUGGCCUCCCAAAGUGCUGGGAUUACAGGCUAUAUAUUGCUAAAGAAAGAAAAAGCACCAAUGGCUGAAGCUAGAGAGACCUUGCUGAGGAAAAGGGAACCAAAAAUGGGAAAUAGCGGCCUGGUAAAGAGGUGUGGCCAGAGGACAGCAUGGAGCACAGCCAGGAGAAACUGUUCUGGGUGAAGAGCCAGAUCUGCUCUGGAAUGCAGCAAAGAGCUCCUUCCUGCUUUCUCAGCCCCUGCAGCAGCUCCUGCUUCACUCCAAGAAAAUGCCAGCCCCCUAAGAACCUGUCCCUUUGGAACAGUGGAUCCAAAAGCUGACCCAAGAGACCUUGAACUUAACACCUCUGUGUCAUGGGCUCCUUAAUGAUAGAAAGAAGAUUGCUUUAGAAGACUGGUUUGCAAACCAGUCUGCUGGGCACUAGAAGCCUUGGGAAGAUUUGAAAAAUAAAUCUUAUUGGCCUCACCAUUUCACAUUCUGACUUAGAGGGUGUGGGCUCUCUAAUCUGAUUGUGUUUUUUUCUGUUUUUGUUUUUGUUUUUGAGACAGAGUCUUACUCUUUUGCCCAGGCUGGAGUGCAGUGGCGCGAUCUCGGCUCACUGCAACCUCCACCUCCCAGUUUCAAGCGAUUCUCCUGCCUCAGCCUCCCGAGUAGCUGGAAUUACAGGCAUGCACCACCACACCUAACUAAUUUUUGUAUUUUUAGUAGAGACGGGGUUUCACCAUGUUAGCCAGGCUGAUCAUGAACUCCUGACCUCAAGUGAUCCGUCCACCUUGG